rnacentral:rRNA from 1 species
AUUGAACGCUGGCGGCAGGCCUAACACAUGCGAGUCGAGCGGAUGAAGGGAGCUUGCUCCUGGAUUCAGCGGCGGACGGGUGAGUAAUGCCUAGGAAUCUGCCUGGUAGUGGGGGAUAACGUCCGGAAACGGGCGCUAAUACCGCAUACGUCCUGAGGGAGAAAGUGGGGGAUCUUCGGACCUCACGCUAUCAGAUGAGCCUAGGUCGGAUUGGCUAGUUGGUGGGGUAAAGGCCUACCAAGGCGACGAUCCGUAACUGGUCUGAGAGGAUGAUCAGUCACACUGGAACUGAGACACGGUCCGGACUCCUACGGGAGGCAGCAGUGGGGAAUAUUGGACAAUGGGCGAAAGCCUGAUCCAGCCAUGCCGCGUGUGUGAAGAAGGUCUUCGGAUUGUAAAGCACUUUAAGUUGGGAGGAAGGGCAGUAAGUUAAUACCUUGCUGUUUUGACGUUACCAACAGAAUAAGCACCGGCUAACUUCGUG